rnacentral:pre_miRNA from 1 species
AUCGACUGUCGAGUGGUUUAGGUAGUUUCAUGUUGUUGGGGGUCCAUUUCUUAACUCUGCAACAUGAAACUGUCUUAAUUGCCCCAGUUGCA